rnacentral:rRNA from 1 species
GAUGAACGCUGGCGGCGUGCUUAACACAUGCAAGUCGAACGAAGCACUUUUGAUUGAUUUCCUCGGAAAGAUUUCACUUAUGACUGAGGGGCGGACGGGUGAGUAACGCGUGGGUAACCUGCCUCAUACAGGGGGAUAACAGUUAGAAAUGACUGCUAAUACCGCAUAAGCGCACGGUAUCGCAUGAUACAGUGUGAAAAACUCUGGUGGUAUGAGAUGGACCCGCGUCUGAUUAGCUAGUUGGUGGGGUAACGGCCGACCAAGGCGACGAUCAGUAGCCGACCUGAGAGGGUGACAGGCCACAUUGGGACUGAGACACGGCCCAAACGCCUACGGGAGGCAGCAGUGGGGAAUAUUGCACAAUGGGCGAAAGCCUGACGGAGCAACACCGCGUGAUUGAUGAAGCCCCUUGGGGUGUAAAGAUCUUUUCUGAGAGACGAAUUCUGACGGUAUCUUAGGAAUAAGCACCGGCUAACUCUGUGCCAGCCGCCGCAGUAAGAC